GAUCAUGGCUCAGGAUGAACGCUGGCGGCGUGCCUAACACAUGCAAGUCGAGCGAGAAAUCUUGGAAUGAGACUUCGGUUAAAUGAAGAGAUGGAAAGCGGCGGACGGGUGAGUAACGCGUAGGCAACCUGCCUUAUGCAGAGGGAUAGCCAUUGGAAACGAUGAUUAAAACCUCAUAAUGCCAUUUUAUCACAUGGUUGAGAUGGUCAAAGAUUUAUCGGCAUAAG
rnacentral:rRNA from 1 species